GCGCCGCAUACCUCGCUCACCGCUCACCGCUCACCGGGGUCCCCCUCGCUCGCCGGGGUCACAGGAGCCUCGGCAGGUGCAGCCGCCGCCGACGCCCGCCAGUUGCUGGCCGCUAUCCGCCGACGCCGGCCUCCGCGCGCAAUCCGCCACCCGCCCCGCAGCCGCAGCCGCAGCAGCAAACCGGGGACUGUGGGGCGGCGCGUGACACGCGGCGGAGGACGCGACCGGUGGCCAGCGGCUGCGACCCCGUCGGUCGGCAGCUUCGGCUCCGAUGCGAGGCUGCGGCACUGAUGCGCAACACGCGAAACGGGGCCAGCUGCAGGUGCGGCCCCGACGCACGGCGGCCGCUGACCGCAGCUCCGGCCCGCUAGCUGCGGUCUUGAUGCGCAGCGCGCGCCCACGCGCCGUCCGGCGCAGCUACGGUACCCGCCGAGCCGCCGCACCUCCUGCCGGGCCACCGCGCUCCUCCUCGGCGCGAGUAGCGAGUCCACACUGGCCGCCCGCGCCGCAGUUUGCGGAGGAGGAGACGCAGCGUCGAGCUGCCCGCCGUGCAGCCGCGCCGAACCGCCACGCCUCACGCCGGGCCACCGCGCGCCGCCAGCAGGCUCCACGGCGCGAGCGGCGAGGCCACGCCGCCCAUCUCCUUCCCUCCAUCAUGGCAGUGCCACGCUUAUGGACGAAGGAGCAGGGAGCAGCGGCCAUACCUGGUUCAUGGGAGUGACGGGCUGCUCCAUGCCCCCUUGAUCCCCUUCUUCACAGCCUUGACUAAGAUUUAUCCGUUCUGAUUCUACUUGUAGUUCACAUCAUGCCAUAAUUUCUGCCUACAUGGUGCUCGACAGAAUGCUCCAGUGGCGACAUGAUGUUUGGAGCUCUGUGGCAUAUUUGCUCACUGCUGCCACUUCGUCAACAAUUUUAUACAUUCCAGUUCUUUCUCUCUCUUGCCCCUAACUAUGCAUUGGUGUUGUUAGUUGUUUUCUCUUUUGGUUCAGUCUCUCUAAUUUGUGUCGAGGCCACAACGGCUCAAAUGACUUCAGGGAUAGAAUUCUAUAGUCUCUGCAACUGAAUUUAGUGUCUUAGCUACUCACCUUAUAUCCAUACAUCUGCAACAAAGGAAAAAAGGAACAUUGUUGUUCUUUCAUAUUACCAAUAGAGUCAAUUGUCUUCCUUGCGACCCAGCAUCGAGGGAUUGUGGAUGAAAGGUUCUCGAUAAUAUUAUUAUUAUUCUCCUCUUAUGCUGGUCAAGACAAUGUUAGGUACACCAACAUACUUUCUUUCAACCAUUUACAGAUUAAUUGAAUUGUUAUAUCCAAAUUUGCUUGAUACAGGUAUGCAACUAUGGUUUAUUUCAUGAUUACAAUAUUGAAUUAGUGCAAAAGUGUUAGCCAUAGUAGUUUUGUGACUACAAAGACAUGCCUUCAUUUUUUCUACCUACUUUCUAUUAUUUCAGAUUUCAAUGAAUGAGUGUCAUACAAGGAGUCUUAUGCCAGAAGCAAGUAAACCUACUAAAUGAGAAAAGGGUUCCAAGCUAAUUUCGUUGUCUGUCACUUGAGGCUGGAGAGAGCAAUUCUUUACUUGCACUCAAAAUUUUCGAUAAGCUUCAUGCUGAAACUCCAACUGAAUAACCAUUGCUUUUUACUGUUUUGCACAUCCUUUUUGUUUCUUAGUCAUUUCUGGUUGCAUAUUCCAUAUAUAUCUUUCAUGAACUAGACUCCAGCUAUUUUGGUUCCAAGUUAUAGUUUGGGAGCGAACAUUUUCAUUACCUUUAACUUGAAAAUAUUUCUAGCUGCAUAUUCCAAAUAUAUCUUUCAUGGUGAAGGGUUAUCAGCCAAUUGAAUUGCAACCGCUCCACACAAUGCAUUUUUAUAGUAUGAAGGGAUUGUGUAUUGUAUCGAUAUAUUUUCCAGUUUUUUGCUGGGUCAUAAAUAAGUGCUUUGAUGCCAUUGACAGUAGCAGUUACUUAAAGCUUUUGCUAAAUUUAAUAUAUAGCAAUGUUGAUUUACUUAUAGCCUACCCCAACUUGCUUGGGAAAAAAGGCUAUGUUGUUGUUGUUGUUGUUGUUGUUGUUGUUGAUUUAUUCGAAAUUUUGUCUGGCCAUUUGGUCUCAUCAUAUCUGUGUGCAAGAUGCAGGAAUUUCAGUUCGGAAUUCAAGUUAACACCAUAAGCUAAAUUGAGACUUUGCAUAGUCAUAAAAAAUUAAGGUUUAUCAAGGUCGGUCGAAUCAGGCUAAAUAUGUGUGUCGCGUCCUUUGAAGGCUACAUAUUUGUGUCGAUCUGCUUUUAGUAGAUUUGUACAUGCUUCUGCUAGCUCCAUUGGCUAAAUAUAAGAUACUGAUCACAGCCUCACAGGUGCUGCAGCAUCUGAUCAUUUAUGUCAUCAAUUAGGUUUUAGUUCUCCAUCAGUAGACCGAACAGCAAGGACAUAGUCAGACACAAAAGGCAUGAACACACAACAUAACAAGCAAGGUCACACACGCCAAUGCAAGAACAUCUAGAGGCAAUAGUGAACUGCCAGCUUCCAUUAUUGGCGACAGUUCACCUGAGUAGCUCCUCAUGCAGCUUAGAACUGAUGAGGAUUAUUGAUGUCGUCGCCGCUCGGUGGCGCCAGCUGGUAGCCGAGGUUGAGCUCGGUGGUGAGUAUCUGGCGGUGUGCCUCCAGCAUCUGCAAGCCUCCUGGAAAGAAGCACUUCAUGUCCAGCCCCGCGAAGGGGCCGGCGGGGAAGAAGCACUUGGUGUCCAUCUCCAAGAAUGGGUUCAGCUCCGCACUGGCGGCGGCCAUGGCGGCAGACCGGGCCACGGUCACCUGCUGCAGCUGCUGCUCUCCCUCCUCAAUCUGAUCAGACAGAGAUGAUGGACACACAGAGUGAUCGGCAUAAGUGAAAAGCAUGAUUUCAAGAUUAAUAAUGUAUACAGAUUUUUUAUUUACUUUUCAAGGCUAGUUAGCUAUAUUAUAUAUGCAAGAAAAGUUUGUUUCUGAUUUCUGACAGUUAAGCAUACCUUGGUCCUGAGGUUCAUGUGGUCAUUCUGGAGCUCAGUCUCCUGCAGUUUCAGCAAGAUUUGAUGUAAAGGAAUGAAUCCAAACAGGAUUAGCUAAAAUGAAUGAAGUAACAAGGGUAUAUAGCUGACAUGUAUGUAUUACCCUUUUGACCAUGUAA